GUCUCCCUUUCUCUACAUACCUUUACCCUCACCGUUCAACCCCAUCCACAGCACAACCUCGUCGUUCUCUCUGGCGAUAUUCAGACUAAUAUUCACUCACGUCUGCCAGUUGUCAAGUAAUAUGUGUUUUUUCCGGCUUAUGGUUGCGUGGGAAGAUAAGGUUUGAUAAGAGAAAGCCAAAGCUAAGAUCUUUGUUAUUCCAAAGAUGAAGGGUUUCUAGUAUGUGGUGUUGUUUUUGUUGUUACACAGCCAAAAAAGAUAACGGUUUCUUGGUGUUUGAAGCUUACAUUCAAGGACUAAAAUAAAAGGAUGGGGAAAUGUUGAUCACAUUUUAGUGGAUUGCCCUUCGUGCGGUUCAGGGGACGAAGAUGUUGAUCACAUUUUAAUGGAUUCUUCUCGGGCUAGAGACGUGUGGGGCAUUAUUUUUUAUUUGGUCGAUUGCCCACGUCUGCUAUCGGGAACAAAGUUAACGACCUCAUCCAACUCGCGAAAAAUUGGUCUUCAGAUCUGAAGAUGAACAAGGUUCUACGGUUCUUUAUGCGACAGUUUGGAGGUUAUGGCGAUCUCAGAAUGGGAAUAUGUUUAAUGGGAAGAACACCCUGAUGAGGAAGUAAAGACGGAGUUUUCUUAUACUUAUCCAAUCGUUCAAAGGUGUCUGCUGAAUGGAGCAAAUGGUGCAGCUUCCCUGUGGCUAAUUGUAAUCUGUUUUGGCUUUGAAGUUCUUGUUUGUAUGUUUUGGUUUUUUGUACUUGCUGGACACCUCCUCUUCUUGCUGAGUGGAGUAAUAUGUUUCACACUUUCAUGUUGUUACAAUUUGUUGUAUGUUAAUGCAUUACUUGAUUAACA
rnacentral:lncRNA from 1 species